AAACUUACAUACCAAGAGCUCUGCAACCUAAUAAAGCUAGCUUUGUGGGUUCUGAUAAAAUUUGGUUCUCCAGUGUUAUAACUGUUGUUGUAUUGUUUUCACAGAGUGGAUCAUACACCUCACAAAACUAUGGUGGUAGCCAGCAGAGUGGAUCAUCAUCCUCACAAAAUUAUGGUGGUGGUCGGGGUGGUUCAUCCUCACAAAACUAUGGUGGCAGCCAAGUAAGUAAUGAUUUAUUUCUCUAUUCAUACAUUAUUUUACACAAGCCUUAGCCCCUGCUCAAAAUUAGCUUUUCUGGUUGCUGAUUUUAUCUGAUUUUUGAUUGUUUGAUUUGUUUUAAAGGGUGGAUCGGGUGGAUCCUCUUCUCAAAACUAUUAUGGCGGUCAAGUAAGUAAUGCUUUAUUUCAGCAAUUAUACAUCACUUCAUACAAGCUUUAGCCUCUGCUCAAAAUUGGGUUUUCUGUUUGCUAGUUUUCUCUGUUUUU
rnacentral:lncRNA from 1 species